AUUGCGACCCGUAGAUAAGGCGCCCGGGGACGACCACGUCAAGGCGCA
rnacentral:misc_RNA from 1 species